rnacentral:rRNA from 2 species
AAGCACCGGCUAACUCCGUGCCAGCAGCCGCGGUAAUGCGGAGGGUGCUAGCGUUAAUCAGAAUUACUGGGCGUAAAGAGCGCGUAGGUGGUUUUUUAAGUCAGAUGUGAAAGCCCUAGGCUUAACCUAGGAACUGCAUUUGAAACUAAAAGACUAGAGUUUCGUAGAGGGAGGUAGAAUUCUAGGUGUAGCGGUGAAAUGCGUAGAUAUCUGGAGGAAUACCUGUGGCGAAAGCGGCCUCCUAGACGAAAACUGACACUGAGGCGCGAAAGCGUGGGGAGCAAACAGGAUUAGAUACCCUGGUAGUCCAUGCCGUAAACGAUGUCGACUCGGAGGUUGCUUCCUUAGAGAAGUGGCUUCCAAAGCUAACGCAUUAAGUUGACCGCCUGGGGAGUACGGUCGCAAGGCUAAAACUCAAAUGAAUUGACGGGGGCCCGCACAAGCGGUGGAGCAUGUGGUUUAAUUCGAUGCAACGCGAAAAACCUUACCUGGUCUUGACAUCCAUAGAAUUUGAUAGAAAUAUCAAAGUGCCUUCGGGAACUAUGAGACAGGUGCUGCAUGGCUGUCGUCAGCUCGUGUUGUGAAAUGUUGGGUUAAGUCCCGCAACGAGCGCAACCCUUAUCCUUUGUUGCCAUCAGGUAAAGCUGGGAACUCAAAGGAGACUGCCGGUUAUAAACCGGAGGAAGGUGGGGACGACGUCAAGUCAUCAAGGCCCUUACGACCAGGGCUACACACGUGCUACAAUGGUACAUACAAAGAGAUGCAACUCUGUAAAGAUAAGCAAACCUCAUAAAGUGUAUCGUAGUCCGGACUGGAGUCUGCAACUCGACUCCACGAAGUCGGAAUCGCUAGUAAUCGUGGAUCAGAAUGCCACGGUGAAUACGUUCCCGGGCCUUGUACACACCGCCCGUCACACCAUGGGAGUGGGUUGCAAAAGAAG